ensembl:ncRNA F52D10.9 ncRNA
AGGUAAAUUAUGGCCCAAAGAGUUAUGGUGAGCGCUCUUUCUAUUUGAAUAACAGAGCGACUUCAAAUGACGACCGAGCGCCUGGUGGGUGGGCAAAAGGCAGCCCCCUAGAAGCCUCCGCAUGUCCGAUGUUUUCGUCCUAUUUUCUG